CAGCCGCCGCGGUAAUACAGAGGAUGCAAGCGUUAUCCGGAAUUAUUGGGCGUAAAGGGCUCGCAGGCGGUUUCUUAAGUCUGAUGUGAAAGCCCCCGGCUCAACCGGGGAGGGUCAUUGGAAACUGGGAAACCUGAGUGCAGAAGAGGAGAGUGGAAUUCCACGUGUAGCGGUGAAAUGCGUAGAGAUGUGGAGGAACACCAGUGGCGAAGGCGACUCUCUGGUCUGUAACUGACGCUGAGGAGCGAAAGCGUGGGGAGCGAACAGGAUUAGAUACCCGAGUAGUCCCUGUCUCUUAUAC
rnacentral:rRNA from 1 species